CACAUCCAAAUGGUUUUUAAACACAUUCAGAUUGUUGAGAAGGGACUAGAAAAUAAGAAACAGGACCAACCAAGAGUAGACAGGAUGAAAUAAGAGACAAGCUUGUUCAAGCAUGCUCAGCCAUCACUGGAACAGUUAAAUACCCUGGGGAAUAAGACUUUGCCUCAGAACUCUCUCUGCACUUGCCUGAAGUUUGAUUCUUUUCUCUGCAUUGUACAUAUUGGCAGCCUGGAUACCUAGCAAGCAAACAACCUGUGUGUUUUCCCUGUGGCCUCCUCAGGAAAAGCCAGGAGGAAAAAAACAUAUUUUACUCCCCAAGCUUUUUGCUUCCAUUUUUAUCUUACACUGCACUUGUUCUUACAUGUAGAAGAUAACAAACAUUCCCUUGUGUUGCCUGUGCGUAUGUAUUUGAAGGCAAAAUAUUAUGUCACAGUGUGAAGCUGUAAUAUUGUGCCUGUUAAAACAUCAGAACCUAUCUCAAUAUAGAAAAAGACAUGGUGAGGUCAAGCAGCAGAUGUAUCCCCAAAGGUACUAAAAGGGACGUUUUAGUCCCAGUUAUGUUUAAAUGCGUGUUGAUAACUAAAAUAUAAUUCUUCUGCUUUUGAUGAAUAAGGCAUUUGAUAAUGGUUGAUGGCUGUGUGAUCCAAAGAGGCAAAAACGUUCUGUAUUUUAUUUAUAACUUGUAAAACCUUUAAAGAACUUACAUGUUCUUAACAAGAAGAUCAGUUAAGGAGAGAAAACUUCUACCGACUGACAAGUUCAUGAUAUUUAUUAGUUACUGUUUUAUAUCUCAGUCAAACUAAUUGCAAACCAUUUGAAAGCAACAGGGUGGUUAACAUGAAAGAUAACAGCAAUCUGAGUUUCUUGCAUAAAAUUGUAGAUAUAACUGUAGUCAGUGCUGGGUCAAAAAUACUGCUGAAUUUGCACUGUUCAUAGUAACCUUCAAAACACUUUAGAAAGAUUGUGUUCUGUAAAAAAAGAAUAAUAAAGUGGCUAUAGAUACCACCAUCAGUACUGGGAUCAAAAGAGAUAUCCUCUGCUUUGUAGAUAUG
ensembl:lncRNA